rnacentral:rRNA from 1 species
GACGAACGCUGGCGGUGUGCUUAACACAUGCAAGUCGAACGAAGUGGCGAACGGGUGAGUAAUACGUGGGUAACCUGCCCUCCUUUUUGGGAUAAGCCUUGGUAACGGGGUCUAAUACCGAAUAAAGGGGGAUGGGCUCGCGGCCUAUCAGCUUGUUGGUGGGGUAAUGGCCUACCAAGGCGGUGACGGGUAGCCGGCCUGAGAGGGUGAACGGCCACAUUGGGACUGCGAUACGGCCCAGACUCCGACGGGGGGGAGGAGUGGGGGAUAUUGGACAAGGGGCGAUAGCCUGAUGCAGCGAGGCCGAGGGGGGGGGGAGGGCUUUAGGGUUGUAAACCUCGGUCGGUAUGGAACGGGUAGGUGGAGAAGAAGCGCCGGCUAACUACGUGCCAGCAGCCGCGGUAAUUC